UACAAAAAAUGUAAAAAAUUAGCCAGGUAUGGUUACAAUUUAGUGGUGAACUCAUAAAGGGAUACCCCUCGUAGGCAUCUGCCUGUGGCUCGGUGACCUCUUAGCAUUUCAGAGGCCCGGAGAUGAGUCCAAGUGGCUGCCUGGCUUCUUUAAGCCAGGGGCUGUCUCUGGUGCCUCCCUUGCCAGCAAGGCAUUACCGACCUUCACAUAAGCUUGCUUGGAGUACAGAAACAGUUUCUGAAUCUGAAAGACUUCUCCGACCCUGAGUUGCAGUGAAACAGCUGAUGCCAACCAGUCAGAAGACCCUCAUAGAGGAAUGAAAUCAGCAUGAGAAUACAGCUUCUUCAUCAUCCUGUCCCAUUACUUCACCUUACACUCUGACCAAUCAACAAUCUCCACACUUCAGCCCAGUCCAAAACCCUUAAAAACUCUAGGCCCAAACUUCUCAGGGAGAUGGAUUUGAGGUUUUCUCUCAUCUCCUAGUUUGGUGACCCCCAGAUUAAACCUUUUUCUCUGCUGCAAAAAAAAAAAAAAAAAAA
rnacentral:lncRNA from 1 species